UGUAUAUUUCAAAUGUUUUUAGUUCUUCAGAUCGCCAGGUAUUAUAUGUAAUACUUAAAAACCGUGUUAUACCGGUCAUCUGAAGAAUUAUUUACCACAGAAAGCAACA
rnacentral:ncRNA from 2 species